UACGUAGGGUGCAAGCGUUAAUCGGAAUUACUGGGCGUAAAGCGUGCGCAGGCGGUUUGGUAAGACAGAUGUGAAAUCCCCGGGCUUAACCUGGGAAUUGCAUUUGUGACUGCCCGGCUAGAGUGUGUCAGAGGGGGGGUAGAAUUCCACGUGUAGCAGUGAAAUGCGUAGAGAUGUGGAGGAACACCGAUGGCGAAGGCAGCCCCCCUGGGUCAAGAUUGACGCUCAUGCACGAAAGCGUGGGGAGCAAACAGG
rnacentral:rRNA from 1 species